rnacentral:misc_RNA from 1 species
UUAAGCUGAAGUAGCAAGCUGAUGGGUGCUAGCGAAAGUUGUAUCCCUCGUCGUACCAGUGUGGUUUUAGAUAAUUUCUUAUCUCAUGACAUCGUGAACGUGCCGCAUAUCACAUUGCCUCGGAAACCAAAAGUUUAUGAACGAUUUAGCUGGGUAAAGGCUUAGUAGUAUGCAACGCAGAUGAAAACUUGUAGUAACACGGGGAAGUUAAAAGAAGUUCAGGUAGAGCAGAAAAAAAACAGCUUUUCUGAGAUUUAUAGUAACACGCCUGUGAACAUGAUACAACCUUUCGGGAGUUCUUCGGUUUAUCAGCAUUACCAAGACAGUAAAUAUGCCCAGAAGGACAAUAUACCACGCUUAAACCAAUUUAAAAAGGGGAGUUAUAUUUGUGUGAAAGGUCCUGUAGUAAUACUAUGGGUCUUGUGUGUGGUAUCUGUAACUCUUUCAGGCUUCUGCGGCCUCAAACUGUUUCAGUUGCAAGAAAGACUUUCAUCACUGGAAAUCAGGUAUAGACAACUGGAGAUAAAACACAUUCUUAAAAAAGUAGACAGUAAGGUGGAAAAGCGCAUGGAGCAACUCAUGUCAGUUACCAGCCGUAUGAAAAGAGGCACAGAGUUAUUUUCAAAAGCUUCGGAGUGGAUAAGCCCAGACAAGGAGCACUAUAUGGUAAAUUCAAAGCGGAAAGGUGUGAAAAUGGUUGCAGCUGAGUGUAUUUGUCCCGUUGGUGAGCCUGGGCCCAAAGGUGAAAAAGGUCGAAGAGGUCGACGAGGCAAACAUGGAAAACCAGGGCCAAUAGGACCAGCAGGUCCUAUGGGAUCUGUUGGACCUCCUGGAAAACCUGGAUUUCCGGGUGCAAUUGGAAUAGAGGGACCAAAGGGUGAAAAAGGUAUUAAAGGUGAAAAAGGAAAUAAGGGAAGUAGUGGACUUGAUGUACAAGUAACAUCGAAAAUGAAAGGCUUGACUGGAGACCAUUCUGAUAUCAUGAUUAACCAGGAUGUUCUAUUAAUAAAGGGUGAGCCAGGUGAGCCUGGGCCAGCUGGUCCACCAGGACCUCCGGGCCCAACUGGUCUGCCUGGUUUUGAUGGCCAGAUUGGAAUGCCUGGUGAACAAGGACCAAUGGGUGAACCAGGACCCUCUGGCCCCCCUGGACCUGUGGGGCCAGUGGGCAAAGAUGGUCUUCAGGGUCCUAAGGGAGUAAAGGGUGACAAAGGUGAACAAGGCUUGACCACAAUGUUGGAUGGUAAUAAACUUCCCACUGGGUUUAUAGAAGGUCCACCAGGACCUCCUGGACCACCUGGACCUGCUGGGCCACAGGGAAGGAAGGGAGACUCUGGAAUUCCAGGACCACAGGGUAAUCAUGGGGAAAAAGGAGAUAAAGGUGAAAGAGGCAGAAGAGGAAAAAGGGGAAAAUAUCGUUUCUGGUGUUUACAUAAACUUCCUUAACCAGCAAACCAGCUCAGAUAAACCAUUAACUACUAACCCAGACUAACUCCUUAAAUAUCAAGUAAACAAGGUGGACAUGGAAAAUUUGAAGACGUGGAAAACGGGUUGUAGCUGGACCUAAAGGGGACAAUGGAUCACAGGCAGAAAAAGGGGAGAAAGGGAAUAUUGGAUUUCCUGGUCUUCAAGGUCCCAGAGGGUUGCAAGGCACCCGUGCGAUUUCGGGAGUUGAUGGAAUUAGGGACAAAUUGUAGGAAAAUGAAAAGGUUUUUCCUAAUGGGACUGACACCUGGGAAACUUGGAACAAUCUUCUAUCCAGAUCUCAUAAUAGAAGCAAUAGUUGGGAACUUUUAUCUAUUAAUCUUAUGAAAAGUAGCAACUUCUUAUAACAAUAAUAUUAUCAUAAAGAUUAUUAUUCUCUAUAUUUGCGAAACAAAUUAAGUUGGUGGUGGGAACAACUUUCACUAAAUAGAAACAAUGUUUUGUUUUUUCAUUACACAACAUUUUUUCACCUGUCUUCUUGUCAUACACUUUAUUUUGUCAGUAAGCAUCACCUGCUACUUACAUAACUUGGUUUCUGUCAUAUUAUCACGCAUGCAUUUACCUGCUUGUGAAUGUUUCUUCUUUGUCAGCUCUUUGUGUUAUAUGAGUUUCAGUGUAGGAUUUCAGUAACUUCUGUUA